CGCCUGGAAUCAUUGUGUUCACUAAAACCGAAUGUUUCCUUGCUGGGCUGCUGCUCCAGCGGCUAUUUUGGACGCCUGGUGUGAAAUUGGGUCUGAUGGGCUUCUACGAGUCUCCUUCCGUGCAACCACAACCCACGACCCUCCUUUCGUCUCUCUGACUCUCGCACACGACCUAUCCUCGCCAACCCUAGGUGUGCCGCCGCCAUGUCUUCAUCUCGCAGCCCCUCAACCGCCCCGUGGGAGCGGCGUCUCUGUCUACGCCUACUCGCUGCUAUCCUCUUUCUCUGGUAUUCCCUAAAGGUGAAGCAGGGAGCAUCUUUUUCUUUUCGUCGAUGAGCUCCAUCCCCACAUCAGUGGCGCACUACAUCCCUGAAGCAUGUGUCCGAGUUUUCAAGCCAUAUCUGGAGUUCUCGGGCGUGUCGUCGCCAGAUCCACCAUGUCGAGCAACCAGCCGGAGAUCCUUUGUACUAGAUGUCAACAGAAGGUGGUCAGUAUAUUAGAGACUUCAAGAAAUUUGAAUCGAAUCUCACAACCUCAUAUCUCUCUUUGUCUCUCUCAGUUGGUUAACAAGUUGCCCUGGUAUUGAUGUUUAUUAAGUUUCUCCCAAUUUUUUUCUUUUGUUUCUCUACAUGUUAGGCCAACGAAGGUUUACAAGUAGGUACAAAUCUUCAUGGUAGGCAAAGAAUAAAUUUAAGUGGUACUUAGUUAAUUAAAUACCAAGUCCGGAGGGUUGAAACAGAUUCAGAGCACUGAGUUAUGGUGGAGCUGAUGUGUUCUUUCUAUACGUAUUCGCUGGGAGAUGAUCACUUAAUCUUUAAAAUUUGACGGUGCCCACUGGGAGUUCAUGCAGAUUUGCUUCCUCAUGUGUAGUUAUAAGUUAUCUGUUCACAAACCUUCAGCUGCUGUAGUUGAUGCUUGGUUAUUGCAGUACAUAUGUUAACUCUAAACUGGACAAUUGAUUCAAGAAAACUACUUUUUGUUUGACUGUAUCUUCAGCAAGGGUACUCUUAUUGCAUGACGCUAUACUGAACCACUGGUUUGUUGCUCGAGCUGUACUAUAGACUCUUAAUUGUGAAUUUUUGAAGCAAAUUUCAAGUCUGCUACUUAUGGGAAAUUUAGAUAAUCGUAGGCUUUUCAGAAGCUUCCGACCCUAGAAAGAAGGCUCUUAAGAAGCUGCACUACAUGAAUAUGCGGAUAUUACAUGUAUGCUUUUCUUUCUUUAAAUUUUCGAUGCUUAUGAAUCAUCCAUGUAAGUAGUUAGCAUGUAUGGAAGAUAAUCUAUGUUCUGAUCCGUCGAGAGGUGCCUUUUCACUUCCAUUUCAUUUCGGCUUCACCUCCAAAAUAUUUCAUUGCUUCUUGCACAUCUUGGCUACUUGAUUUAUGUAACUUUUUGCAUUUUCAUUUCAUAUUUUCAUGUAAGAUGUGUGCUACAUUAAGUUCUUUAUUUUUUGGCUUCAUUACAUUGUAAUCUCAUGUUUUUUGGCCAUUAAAAUAGUAGCCACCUUUUACAAUGGAACUAGACACUCUUUGCUCAUUUUACAAAUGAUUUUACCUGAUAUAAUGUAGUACACAUUUUUGCACGAACUAUUGUAAGACAUACUAGAAGAAUAUUUAGAUACAUUAAAACUGAGCACCUUUCCAACCCUCUCAGGCUAUUAGCACUUUCAGCCUUUGGAUCAUCAGUUUUGGGCGUUUUCGGCCGUCAGAUUUACUCUUAAUCCCGCCUGGAAUCAUUGUGUUUGCUAAAACCGAGUGUUUCCUUGUUGGGCCGCUGCUCUGGUGACUAUUUUGGACGCCUGGUGUGAAAUUGGACCUGAUGGGCUUCUACGAGUCUCCUUUCGUGCAACCACACCCCACGACGCUCCUUUCGUAAGUCAAUGUAAGAUGCCAUGAGAAACCAAGAGAGGGAAUUAAAAACUUGUGAUAAACAUAAGAAAAAGAGGACGCAGAGCAGUGGUCUUUAAAAGCAAUAUUGCAUAGAUAUGAUGAUGUUUACCUACAACCACCGUAUUCUGUGUAUAUGUGAAUUUCAAUCUCUGCCAACUUACAAGUGGUUCAAGAUAAGAAUAUGAGGGUGUAUAAACAGGAUAACAGGAUAAUAUGCCAUGGUGGACUACACUAGCUUAUCCAAGUGCUCUGAGAUAUUAGCGUAUGCCUGUGCUUUGCCUCGUAUGAAGUCCAUCACAAUUGAACAUAGUUCAGUUUGUUUUUUUAACUUACAGGCUUACAGCUACUAACUUUAUCUUAUCCGCUCCAUUUUCUGGCAAACUAGGUUGAGAAAGGCAUGAUGUUGUCCGUUGUGUAUUCUAAAUGGGUUGCUGUGGUGGAUGGAGUAGCACGACAUCGAUUUCUUUGCUUGCCAAAGAAAAAAAGAAUUGCACAUUUUCAAAACUUGAGACAUGGAGCUUGCGGAAGACUUCUCAAUUUGUAUUCAACCCAUGACACAGUAUGAGCAUGGCCAUUUUAACAAUAAUUAUUUCUCUUAAAUAUACUCCUUUGUUGGUUUGUAGUUAUAAUGUGGAGGGUAUUUUCCUCUGAUGCAACUAUACAUUGUUAACACAUGUAUAUCAUGUGCCAAUUGUGAUUAUUUAUCCAUUUAUUUAUUUA